rnacentral:lncRNA from 11 species
CUUCAAGUCCUGACGGAGUUUCUGGGGGUGAACCGGGCAUGUUGGGAGUUGUAGUUAAUAAUACUUUUCAAUAGCCAAUAGGGGCCCGCUCGUGGGCGGGGCGUCACGGACUCGGCCAAUGGGAGGGCGAGGGGCGGAGGAGGGGCGGGGCUUCUUCCUGGCUGGGCCUGCGCAGAGCCUCUCUCGCCGCCAUUGUUUUCUGAGGCGUUUCCUCUGGAGCCGCGAAGGAGGAGAGAGAGAGCGAGAGAGAGAGAGAGAGAGAGAGAGAGGACGUGAGAGUUCUCUGGAGCCACCCCUGCCGUGAUGGGAAACGAAC